AUGGAAAACAAACCAGAGUCAUGUCCAUUAAAUUCUUCUGCGGAAAUGCUGGCCUGCCUUCUUCAAGUAUUUGGACCUGCUGCAGAAUAUGCAAGGCAGGUUCUCUGGUCAGCAGUAAUUCUGGGGUCUGGUUCUGCUCUCCCUCAAGAGCUGUCAGUCUUCAGGCAGCUUGUUGCUUUGUGCUCCUUCCACACAGGAGCAGACGAACUCAUGAAUGAAACAUUACUGAUACUGAAGAGAACUCCUGGCAUCCACCUCAGCAGAAGAAACUGACUUAUCAUUCAUUGAAGACAUCCGUACUUAUACAGGGAAUGCAUGCUCACAUGGCGGUGCCAAGCCAGGGCUGCCAGUGGAGGAGAGGGACAGAAACGGGAGAGGAAAAGGGGGUGGAGGAGAGGAGAAGGAUGAGAAGGAAAAGAGGAAGAGGUGAGGGAGAUGUUCCCCUGCUACAUACAGAUGCUGCACUGCCUGCCAAAACAGCCCAGCCUGUGGGUUGCCCUGAGGGUGCCUGCUUAGCCACCCUUGGAGGAACUGCCACCUGACCUCCUCCAGUUGGGCUCUGUUUUGACCCUAAACCUAAAAAACUUUUGCAGUCUGAAAAUACUGAAACGGUUUGUUCUUUUUUUUGGUUGUUGUUCUUUUUUUUUUUUUAAUUAUUAUUAUUAUAGAUAUGAUAUUACUAAAAAUAGACCUGCAUGUGCAAGUUUGAAAUGUUUCAUUUCAAACACAAGUACAACAUAAAUGCAGUUGGAGUGGAACUUGUCUUGCAUCAAGAAAUCAAAGCAGGCAUGAAGGAAGAGAGCAUGUUGUGCUGAACAGUGUAUGACUGUUCCAUGGGGCAAGAUGGAUUGACCAUAUGUUGGUAUCCACGACUUUAUGCAAAUUCUGUGUCUGUGAAAGUUACCUAAUUAAGUCAAGUUCCUGAAACAUCUCAAAUGGGGAUUUGCACAACUUGUCUUUAAACUGAUGCUCACUGCUGCUACCGGCACGUGUCCAGGAGCCGCUUGGCUGCGCGUGUGUCUGAGCCACCCAAGGCAGCUGCGGUGCAGCAGGAGCUGGAGGGGGCACAGCACCAACAUGCCACCAGUUCCUGGUGUCUGUGUUUGCUGCGGAGACACCUGAGGAAGGUCUUUUCUCAGAAGAACCGUGCCUUACAGGGUGUGCAGGAGGGUCUGUCUCCACGUCAGCUGUCAGCCAAACAGAUGAGUAACAAACCUCCAAAAUCAGAGUUUUUCAGCUCAAGAGUAGUAGAAGAAGGUGAAACUGGCACUGCUCAGCUAAGUGUGGAUAUCUCUGUGUAAAUCAACCCUGAUGGCUGAGAAAUUGAAGUUGGUAGAUGUAGCUAAGACUUUUAAAAGGCGUCAGAGGUAAUCCAUUGAUCUAUUUACUAAGAUAUUGCCAAGUUGUUUUUUUUUUUUUAACCAGACAACCUCUUGAGAGCUGCGUAUGUGUAAUUAUUGAUUCUGUUCUUUUAUGGUCUGCAAAAUGUUGGGAAUAGUGAAUACUGUCCAGAAGAUUGGAAACAUUUUUGAGGUCCGGCGCCUCUACUGGAAAUCUUUGAAAUAGUUUGCAAGAAUAUGGUUAAAGCAAUACAGUCAGCCUUGAGUAAUUUAGUUGUCUCCCCCUGAGGAACCGAUAAUGACAACUAUUGGAGACACUGCUGGGUUGCACGGACCUCUGACAAAUUUUAUGUCCUUAUGUUUUCAAAAGUAUCUAGUACUGGAGGCAGUCUGUGUUCUCCAGAAAACCUUGAUGCUGAGAAGCCUUUCAUUAUCUUGAUUUGUGCAACAUUACCCCAGUUGUCCCAGCAGAGGUGCAGAUCCUUAUGCAAUAAUGACAAUUUGCAAAAGUUACUUUCUGUGGAAACUCUAGAAAUAAUCAGCAGAUCUUAGUAACCCCAGGCCACAGGCAGGAGGAGGAAGGAACAACACACUGCUGUAGAAUUACAGAAUGCUUUGGGUUGGAAGGGACUUAAAAAAACCUAUACUUUGUCUUGAUUUGUUCUCAUUUAGUGCAUGUCCCAGAAGGAUAUCCUUGAGCUUUUUCCAGUCAUCUUGCCUCUGACAGCUACUCCAAAAGCAACAAAUGUCUAGCAAGCAUCCAAGUGCCCUGCAAACCAAUGAACCUUAUCUUCAACUUGAAUCUGGAGCAACUGUAGUGAAUAAAUCAGUUUUUCUGCAUUUGAUCUGGUAUGUG
ensembl:lncRNA